GUAGUCUCGCACAGAUGCAUAUCAAUAAGCGGAGGAAAAGAAACUAACAAGGAUUCCCUCAGUAACGGCGAGUGAAGCGGGAAGAGCUCAAAUUUGAAAUCUUGAAAGGUCACCUUUCACGAAUUGUAGUUUAAAGAAGUGUUUUCUGUUACGAUCGUAAUAUAAGUUCUUUGGAAUAGGACAUCACAGAGGGUGAGAAUCCCGUCUAUGAUUGCGAUUUGUAGCUUUGUGAUACACUUUCAAAGAGUCGGGUUGUUUGGGAAUGCAGCCCAAAACGGGAGGUAAAUUUCUUCUAAGGCUAAAUAUUGGCGAGAGACCGAUAGCGAACAAGUACCGUGAGGGAAAGAUGAAAAGAACUUUGAAAAGAGAGUUAAAUAGUACGUGAAGUUGUCAAAAGGGAAGCGUUUAACACCAGUGUUGUUUUCUGAAAAUCAACCUCUGUUAGCUUUAUGCAUGUUUGUUUAGACCUAAUCAGCUAUCUUGCAUGUUCUAUUGUUUGCAGUGGUGCACUUUUCAGUUUACAGGUCAACAUCAGUUUUUUUUACCGUAAAAAAGUUAAAGAAAGGUAGCUCAUGGCUCCGGUCGUGAGUGUUAUAGUCUUUUUCCUAUGCGGUAGGAGAGACUGAGGUCUGCAGUGUAGGCUAUUUGGCUAGAUACUCAGGUGCUAUGUGAUACCAUUUCAUAAACAACUUGUUGAUUAUGUUUUGUCUAUUGCAUACUCGCUUGUACUAUCAUACCUACGCUUAGGAUGUUGAGUCGUAGAGCACGCAG
rnacentral:rRNA from 1 species